GCCAGGUGUGGUAGCACACAGCUGUAAUCCCAGCUACUCAGGAGGCUGAGGCAGGAGGAUCACAAUUUCAAGGCCAGCCUGGGCAACUUAGUGAGACCCUGUUUCAA
rnacentral:sRNA from 1 species